rnacentral:rRNA from 1 species
GUGCCAGCAGCCGCGGUAAUACGGAAGGUCCGGGCGUUAUCCGGAUUUAUUGGGUUUAAAGGGAGCGCAGCCGAUGGUUAAGCGUGACGUGAAAUGUAGCCGCUCAACGGCUGAACUGCGUCGCGAACUGGCUGUCUUGAGUGAGUUCGAUGUGGGCGGAAUUCGUGGUGUAGCGGUGAAAUGCUUAGAUAUCACGAAGAACUCCGAUUGCGAAGGCAGCCCACAAGGCCUUUACUGACGCUAAAGCUCGAAGGUGCGGGUAUCGAACAGGAUUAGAUACCCUGGUAGUCCGCACGGUAAACGAUGGAUGCCCGCUGUUUGCGAUAUACUGUGAGCGGCCAAGAGAAAUCGUUAAGCAUCCCACCUGGGGAGUACGCCGGCAACGGUGAAACUCAAAGGAAUUGACGGGGGCCCGCACAAGCGGAGGAACAUGUGGUUUAAUUCGAUGAUACGCGAGGAACCUUACCCGGGCUUGAACUGCAGCGGAAGGAUACAGAGAUGUUGACGUCCUUCGGGACCGCUGUGGAGGUGCUGCAUGGUUGUCGUCAGCUCGUGCCGUGAGGUGUCGGCUUAAGUGCCAUAACGAGCGCAACCCUUUUCAUCAGUUGCCAUCAGGCGAUGCUGGGCACUCUGGUGAUACUGCCACCGUAAGGUGUGAGGAAGGUGGGGAUGACGUCAAAUCAGCACGGCCCUUACGUCCGGGGCUACACACGUGUUACAAUGGGGUAUACAGAAGGCAGGAUCACGGCAACGUGUUUCAAAUCUUUAAAGUGCUCCUCAGUUCGGAUUGGGGUCUGCAACCCGACCCCAUGAAGCUGGAUUCGCUAGUAAUCGCGCAUCAGCCAUGGCGCGGUGAAUACGUUCCCGGGCCUUGCACACACCGCCCGU